rnacentral:rRNA from 1 species
UAAGGAUCGGUAGAGGAGCAUUGCAUGCGGGACGAAGCAGUACCGUAAGGAGCUGUGGACUGCAUGGAAGAGAGAAUGCCGGAAUGAGUAGCGAGAUAGAGGUGAGAAUCCUCUAGGCCGAAUAUCCAAGGUUUCCAGGGUAAAGCUGAUCUGCCCUGGGUAAGUCGGGGCCUAAGGUGAGGACGAGAGUCGUAGCCGAUGGACAACAGGUGGAGAUUCCUGUACUAUGAUAUGACAGAACUGUGGGGACACGUGCAGAGAGCGGAAGCCGGGAAUGGGAUCCCGGUGCAAGCGAGGUACCAGUCACAUUGGAAAAACCGUGUGACAAUGGGAAGACGUGAUGCGGAGUGAAGUUUAGUAAUGAAGUCCGUGAGCUGUGCGUCAAGAAAAGCCGCUAUUGUUCAUACCAUACCCGUACCGUAAACCGACACAGGUGGAUGAGGAGAGAAUCCUAAGGCCGGCGGAAGAAGCAUUGUCAAGGAACUCGGCAAAAUGACCCCGUAACUUCGGGAGAAGGGGUGCCUGCGAGAGCAGGCCGCAGAGAAUAGGCUCAAGCAACUGUUUAGCAAAAACACAGGUCUAUGCGAAACCGAAAGGUGAGGUAUAUGGGCUGACGCCUGCCCGGUGCUGGAAGGUUAAGAGGAGAGGUUAGCGCAAGCGAAGCUUUGAAUUUAAGCCCCAGUAAACGGCGGCCGUAACAAUAACGGUCCUAAGGUAGCGAAAUUCCUUGUCGGGUAAGUUCCGACCCGCACGAAAGGCGUAAUGAUUUGAGCGCUGUCUCGACAAUGCAUCCGGUGAAAUUGAAGUACCAGUGAAGAUGCUGGUUACCUGCGCCAGGACGGAAAGACCCCAUGGAGCUUUACUCCAGUUUGGUACUGGGAUCCGGUACUGCAUGUACAGGAUAGGUGGGAGGCUAUGAAUCGGUAACGCCAGUUGCCGAGGAGCCGCUGUUGGGAUACCACCCUUGCAGUAUUGGGUUUCUAACCAGCCGCCGUGACCCGGCGGUGGGACAAUGCCAGACGGGGAGUUUGACUGGGGCGGUCGCCUCCGAAAGGGUAUCGGAGGCGCCCAAAGGUUCCCUCAGGAUGGACGGAAACCAUCCAAAGAGUGCAAAGGCAGAAGGGAGCUUGACUGCGACACCGACGGGUGGAGCAGGUACGAAAGUAGGGCUUAGUGAUCCGGUGGUAUUAAGUGGGAAUGCCAUCGCUCAACGGAUAAAAGCUACCCUGGGAUAACAGGCUUAUCACUCCCAAGAGUUCACAUCGACGGAGUGGUUUGGCACCUCGAUGUCGGCUCAUCGCAUCCUGGGGCUGUAGUAGGUCCCAAGGGUUGGGCUGUUCGCCCAUUAAAGCGGUACGCGAGCUGGGUUCAGAACGUCGUGAGACAGUUCGGUCCCUAUCCGGCGUGGGCGUAGGAUAUCUGAGAGGAGCUGUCCUUAGUACGAGAGGACCGGGAUGGACGGGCCGCUGGUGCACCGGUUAGACUGCCAAGUCUAUAGCCGGGUAGCCAAGCCCGGAAGGGAUAAACGCUGAAGGCAUCUAAGCGUGAAGCCCCCCUCAAGAGGAGAUAUCCCAUCCGAAAGGAGUAAACCCCCUUGAAGACGACGAGGUCGAUAGGGCAGAGGUGGAAGUGUGGUAACACAUGGAGCUGACUGCUACUAAUAGGGUGAGGGCUUGACC